UCUAAUUUACAAGACAAGCUUAGCUUGGCACAACUGUUGCGUCCUACCUGCCUUUAAUCAUUAACAAGCAGCAUCCGUAGACGGUUACAAGUAUUGCAUGGGUCCAUAUGGUAUUAUUAAAGUUCCUUAUAUUUUAACUUAUGGCAGUUGGUUCUUCUCAUAGAUUCCAUCCCAAAGCCUUAAAAAUCAAUCUGGCAGAAUUGUGAUAUUUUAGUUUUAACUCCUUUUUCUGACUUCAUUUUGGCAAUGGGGCGAAAGAGAAUGUAAACCUAAUAUUUUGGUACGCUGCUUCUCCACACCCGAUAAAUGAUAUAUAUAUAUAUAUAUAUAUAUAUAUAUAAUUGAUUAAUCUUUUUUCUAGGAAAUCCUAAAAGUAAAGAAAAUUCAUAGAGCUGUUGCUGAACAGAGAAGCAUUUUUGAGGAAGCGUUAUACACGUCACAAAAAUACCAUUUUUGGUGUAUAAACCAUUUUUGAGGAAGGGUUAUACACGUCACAAAAAUUAUGACCAAUCCUUCAACAGAACUGGUAUUAUGUUUCAGAAUAUACCUAAGUUUUGUCAUUUUUUUGCUGAUCAGUUGUCUACUAAUUAGGCCAUUAAUAAUUUUGCGUAUUCACCCUCUCGAAGAGGUACCAAUUAGAAUUAUUUUAAAACUAAAUAAUUUAAUACUACCUCUGUAUCUCUUAAUGGUACUUUUUAAUGUUUUCGUUUUGUUUAAUUAUUGAUAACUGGUAUCAAUAGAUUCCUAAUCCUGCUAGCGAUAACUUUUUCGAUUUAGAAUAGAUUAGGUAUAUCUAAUGGCUAUGGUUGGAAAGAAAAAUGAUGAUUUUAUGACUCAUUGUGUUCCUUCAUACAGCUUCUGUGAUUUUCACCCAGGACGAGGUUUUAAACAAGAGAGAGCCAAGAAAAUAUUGUACUGUAAACAAGGAUUUUGGUCAGUUUUUCCUUUACUGCCUAUAGCUACAAAAAUGAAAAUAAUAUCUCUGUCAACUAAGUUUUACUAGGUCUUCAUUUGUAUCGGAUUAAUUGAGAAGACAAACCUUGCUAAUCUAAGGUCAUAAUCUAUAAAUUAUAUUCAGCUCAUAUAGAGAUAAUCAAACUCCAACCAUUUUAAUUCAUAAUGUCUCUCAUACAUGCUGAGUCACUUUAUGUGUGCUGUCAAAAUUACCAAUGUGGAAGAAAAUGGAAAUUGGGGGUACAUAAGCUGCAUAGGAUGCGUAGAAGAAGUUUGUAAACAAGAGGGUAAAUACAAUGCAAUUGUGGUUCUAACAGCCUGGUGGCAGGAAAAAGGUUUAACUUCUUAAAUUUUGAAAUUGGUAUUGUUUCACACAUGUUACUUAUAGGCUGCAUGAUUUCUCCAUCUGAUAUUAAUGGUUCUCUGUUCUACAAUUGUUUGUCUAAGCUGAUUUCUGAUAAUCUGCGGGUCUUUUUGUAACACUGCAAACCUGGAGAUGAACUGAUAUCAGCUUCAUUUCAAAACUAAGAUAGCUUUGUUGAUUCUGCAGAAUAGUUCAAGUUCUGGAUACCCUGCAAAGAUCAGAGACAUGAUCGGCACCAGAGUACGCUUUUGAUAUUGAGAUAAGAAAUGAUAAUGUCGUGGCCAAGAGUAAGAUAUUCUAUCUUAAUGAUGCUUUUGAUACUUCUAAUUCAUCUGGAGCUUCUUUAUCAUAGGAUGCAAUAAGAUCGGAUUUGAGUAAUUCAAGCUUUGCUGAGAGCAUGAUCGACUUAUCCAAAUCAGGAGACACUCCAACUUCUGAUAAAUCAGUCUACAAAAAGAUUAAGGAAGGUUGAAGAAUACUUACUGGAAUGGUCUCCUGGAACUUUGCACAAGUAGGAUGGCUUGGGUGAAGAUUAAUCUUUAUUUCUGUAAUCUGAAAUAAAUGACUUCACUAUUGAAGUUUAGGAUUUGUUCAAAUUGUUCGUGUGCUUUUCAUUAGAAUUAGUUCCGGUGCUUUUCUUAUGAACUCCAUCUAUUAUGCACUCAAUAUAAUUAUUUAAUUUAACUA